rnacentral:rRNA from 1 species
AUGGCGACCGGCGCACGGGUCGAGUAACGCGUAUCCAACCUGCCCUUUACUAUGGGACAGCCCGUCGAAAGGCGGAUUAAUACCGUAUGUUGUCAUGUUGAUGCAUAUUUUCAUGACCAAAGGCUUCGGCCGGUAAAGGAUGGGGAUGCGUCUGAUUAGCUUGCCGGCGGGGUAACGGCCCACCGGGGCGACGAUCAGUAGGGGUUCUGAGAGGAAGGUCCCCCACAUUGGAACUGAGACACGGUCCAAACUCCUACGGAAGGCAGCAG